GAUGAACGCUGGUGGCGUGCCUAACACAUGCAAGUCGAGCGAUUCUCUUCGGAGAAGAGCGGCUGACGGGUGAGUAACGCGUGGGUAACCUGCCCUGUACACACGGAUAACAUACCGAAGGGUAUGCUAAUACGAGAUAACAUGCUUUUAUCGCAUGGUAGAAGUAUCAAAGCUUUUGCGGUACAGGAUGGACCCGCGUCUGAUUAGCUAGUUGGUGAGGUAACGGCUCACCAAGGCGACGAUCAGUAGCCGACCUGAGAGGGUGAUCGGCCACAUUGGAACUGCGACACGGUCCAAACUCCUACGGGAGGCAGCAGUGGGGAAUAUUGCACAAUGGGCGAAAGCCUGAUGCAGCAACGCCGCGUGAGCGAUGAAGGCCUUCGGGUCGUAAAGCUCUGUCCUAAAGGAAGAUAAUGACGGUACUUGAGGAGGAAGCCCCGGCUAACUACGUG
rnacentral:rRNA from 1 species